UGGGGAAUAUUGCACAAUGGGCGCAAGCCUGAUGCAGCCAUGCCGCGUGUGUGAAGAAGGCCUUCGGGUUGUAAAGCACUUUCAGCGGGGAGGAAGGCGUUAAGGUUAAUAACCUUGGCGAUUGACGUUACCCGCAGAAGAAGCACCGGCUAACUCCGUGCCAGCAGCCGCGGUAAUACGGAGGGUGCAAGCGUUAAUCGAAAUUACUGGGCGUAAAGCGCACGCAGGCGGUCUGUCAAGUCGGAUGUGAAAUCCCCGGGCUCAACCUGGGAACUGCAUUCGAAACUGGCAGGCUAGAGUCUUGUAGAGGGGGGUAGAAUUCCAGGUGUAGCGGUGAAAUGCGUAGAGAUCUGGAGGAAUACCGGUGGCGAAGGCGGCCCCCUGGACAAAGACUGACGCUCAGGUGCGAAAGCGUGGGGAGCAAACAGG
rnacentral:rRNA from 1 species